GCUCAUGUGAUGAAUUUUUCUGUUCAGCUGCUGAGUGACUCAAAUUAACUAAAUUGCAAUUCUGAUUAGA
rfam:Calypte anna contig59395, whole genome shotgun sequence.